GUGGGGAAUCUUCCACAAUGGACGAAAGUCUGAUGGAGCAACGCCGCGUGAGUGAAGAAGGGUUUCGGCUCGUAAAGCUCUGUUGUCGGGGACGAAUGUGCAGUAUUUGAAUAAAGUACUGUAAUGACGGUACCUGACGAGGAAGCCACGGCUAACUACGUGCCAGCAGUCGCGGUAAUACGUAGGUGGCAAGCGUUGUCCGGAAUUAUUGGGCGUAAAGGGAGCGCAGGCGGGAAGGUAAGUCGGUCUUAAAAGUGCGGGGCUCAACCCCGUGAUGGGAUCGAAACUAUCUUUCUUGAGUGCAGGAGAGGAAAGUGGAAUUCCUAGUGUAGCGGUGAAAUGCGUAGAUAUUAGGAGGAACACCAGUGGCGAAGGCGACUUUCUGGACUGUAACUGACGCUGAGGCUCGAAAGCGUGGGUAGCAAACAGGAUUAGAAACCCGUGUAGUCC
rnacentral:rRNA from 1 species